AUCCCAUUCCUUGGUUUAUUAAAAAAAAUAUAUAGAUAGAUAGAUAUAUAUAUCCCAAUAUUGACUUGGGGUGGUCCCUGGACGCCUCGCCCCGGGGCUGUGUCCGGGGCAGGGCAGGUGGAGCGCUGCGCCGCCUCCCCGCGCGCGCCCCAGAAGCUUCCCCAGCCGCUGGCCCCACCGUCCAGGAGGCGAGCGCUGCGCCUCUCUCGAAAGCAGCCGCCGGGGCCGAGCGCCUGCGAGCGCCUGCGAGCGCCUGCGAGCCCCGCAGGGCACCCAGGUCCCCGGGCUCUCCUUCCUCCAGGGUCCCGUUCCGCUUCGGCCUUCCCUGCGUGGGGCGUCCAGGGACUAGAAAGAGAGAAAGUUCUUACCUGUCAUGUUGUUAAGCCUAUCAAAUCCUGCUACACAGGAAACCUUUAAGGUAUUUUCUAAAAAUGGUUUAAAAUGUCAUUUCUUCAUAGGCAUGUAGGCUAAAUUCCAGCCCUGCAGGUAGGUUCCAGGAGUUAAGUCCCAGAAUUAGCAAAACAUUCACGGAUAUUAUUUGGCCAUAGUUCUAUAGGAAAGACUGUGAUACCCCCAAACAGAUAUCCGUUCCAGGGGGGAUGUGGGUAAACGAAGGCAGGCCGCUGGCGGCGGGUAUCCCGGAUAAUGAUGGGGUCCCCAGACAGGACUCCUCUGGUUUCUGCUGAACUGGGUACAAGGCAUAGAAGUAAGUUUAUACUGCAGAUGCUUAAAACCCUUUGCGUGAAAUUAAAAUCUAGAGAGAGAUGAUUUUCCCCUUGCUUGGUUACAGUUUGCAGUACACACAGGAGGUUUCGUAUGUCUAUUUUCCCCCUGCCACGUCAUGGACACCCCUCCACUGCUCAGAGUAGCCAAAUAUGAGUUCCUCUGGACGAUUUUUCUCAAGCAAAUGAAAUCAGCGGCUCCUCCAUUGAGGAUUUCCACCCGUUUGUUACAGAGCUGGAGACAGGGGAGUUCCCAUCCUCCUCGCGCUGCGAUUGCGGCCGCUCCUCUUUAUUCUACUCUCUCUGCGGAGGCCCGCGCCCGUCCCGGGAGGCGGCGGUGCCCGAGAGGCGGCCCGACCAGUGCCCCGCGCCGGGUCCGCGUCCCAGCCCACCUUCGCCCCUCGUCGUCGUCUCCCAGACGAAAGCCCCGAAUGGGAACGCGGAGUGUUUGUACCCACUGCGCCGCAGCUGGUCCCGGCACUUGCAAAAUGGAUGCUGAGACUACACAAAGCCUCCUGGAGAAUGAGAGAGAGCCUGGAGAAUGA
rnacentral:lncRNA from 1 species